UACAGAGGGGGCAAGCGUUGUUCGGAAUUACUGGGCGUAAAGGGCUCGUAGGUUGCCAACUAAGUCAGACGUGAAAUCCCUCGGCUUAACCGGGGAACUGCGUCUGAUACUGGAUGGCUUGAGUUCGGGAGAGGGAUGCGGAAUUCCAGGUGUAGCGGUGAAAUGCGUAGAUAUCUGGAGGAACACCGGUGGCGAAGGCGGCAUCCUGGACCGACACUGACACUGAGGAGCAGAAGCCAGGGGAGCAAACGGG
rnacentral:rRNA from 1 species